AGGAUUAACGCUGGCGGCGUGCCUGACACAUGCAAGUCGAACGAGGCCGCAAGGCCGAGUGGCGGACGGGUGAGUAACACGUGACCAACCAACCUCGAAGUUGGGAAUAGCUCUGCGAAAGUAGGGGUAAUACCGAAUGUGGCCCAGGGCGGGCAUCCGCCUUGGUCUAAAGAUUCAUCGCUUCGAGACGGGGUCGCGGCCUAUUAGCUUGUUGGUGAGGUAACGGCUCACCAAGGCGAUGAUGGGUAGCUGGUCUGAGAGGACGACCAGCCACACUGGGACUGAGACACGGCCCAGACUCCUACGGGAGGCAGCAGUGAGGAAUCUUCCGCAAUGGGCGAAAGCCUGACGGAGCAACGCCGCGUGUGGGAUGAAGACUCUAGGGUUGUAAACCACUGUCGGAGGGGACGAUCGUGACCGGUACCCUCCAAGAAACGCCCCGGCUAACUACGCGCCAGCAGCCGC
rnacentral:rRNA from 1 species